AGGACAAUGGGGCUUGUUUCCCAGAUAGUUAAUCAUCCGAGGGACGCUACUCAAGUUAUUCUUCCAAGAACAGGAGGGAUCAUCUAAAGAAGAGAGAAUCCUGGACCUGGUGGGCUGUGUUCUCCGGGAAAGCAAUCCCAGCUUAUGCUCUGUGAAACUCACGGGAGACCAGCCAUGGAAGUUCAGAUAUAUUGCAUUGCUUGGUUCAUCAUCAUUAGGUGAGGACACAGCAAGAAAGCAGGCAUCUACAAGCCAGGAAGAAAGCUUUUAACAGAAACCAACCAUGCUGACACCUUGAUCUUGGACUUCUAGCCUCCAAAACUGAAGAUACCAGAAGAUUUACUUUAGAAAUACAAAAGAAGAGAAAAAAAAACACUAACGAAGAUCCAGGAAUCCAGGGUUCAAGUCCAGGAGACCUGCAGAGCCCCUCAGGCUCUCUGGGACCUCCUGUAGCUACUGAGGGCAAUUAUGGCUAAGAGACGCGAACCUGAAAAGGGCUUCAAGAAUUGCUGCAAAAGGGGCGCCUCGGUGGCUCAGGCAGUUAAGCGUCUGCUCCCGGCUCCGGUCGUGAUCUCAGGUCCUGGGAUCGAGCCCCGCAUCGGGCUCCCUGCUCAGCGGGAAGUCUGCUGUCCUCCUCCCCCCGCCCCUCCCCCGCCACCCACUUGUGCUCUGUCUCUCUCUCUCUCUCUCUAAUAAAUAAAUAAAUAAUCUCAAAAACAAAAACAAAAAAGAAUUGCUGCAGAACACCAGUCCCUGCAAAUGCUGCAAGGCACUGUUGGCUCUAGACUUCGGAAAGAUAAACUUCCCCAAAAUAAUCUGAGUUGAAUACAGACCAAGACUGUUAGACAUUUGGUAUGCACUGAUAUCUGCGGGAGUCAAAAAGAAAAAAAAAAAAAAUUUAGUAAGUUUGCAUAAAACAAAGAGUCAUUCAGAUUUGGUCACAAAUAAGAAUUUUCACCAAGAAUUGCAUGAUACAGUACAA